rnacentral:lncRNA from 10 species
CUCUAACUACAUGUGCUAUCUAUAGACCUUAAUCUAUCACGACCCUUUCACGUGGACCCCUUAGGGUUGUAAGCCAUUAAAAAGGGCCAGGAACUCAUUCUUCGGAGCUGGGUUCUUGAGACGCCAAGUCGGCUGACGCUCCUGGUGGAAUAAAGUGUCUUCUUUCUUUAACCAGGUGUCUGAGGGGUUUUGUCUGCCGCUCAUCCUGCUACAUUUCUUGGUUGCCUGGCCAGGAAGCGAGGUGAUUAAUGGAAGGUCGAGGCAGCCCCUUAGAUGGCUUAUGCCUGCCCUGCGGACCAUCCCUGCGGGGAACUCUGGCUAGCUUGAGAGACAUGGAUCCUGAGAGCGCUGCCGGGUAGGCAUUUGCCCUAGUGGAACACCUCAUCAGAGCAGUGCAGGGCAGGCCCCCCCGCGGAGGAUCAACGCAGCAGCUGAACACUGGGAAGGAACCGCGCUUGGAGUCCAGACAUCUGGAAUACGGAAGAGGAAGAGACACCAGGAGUACUCAUUCAAGAAAAGGCCAUGUGAGGACACAGGGAGAAGGCGGCCAUCUCCAAGCCAGGAAAAGAAGUCUCACUGAAAACCAGCUCUGCUAGCACCUUGAUCUUGGACUUCUCGCCUCCAGAACUGUAAGCAAAUUAACUUCUGUUGCUUAAGCCAGUCAGUCCCUGAUACUUUGUUAUGGGAGCUCUAACAGACUAAACAAAUAGUGAGAAUCAGUGGAUUUACAUGGCGGAAUAGAGGCCCUUGUUAAUUGAGUUCAAUUAAGAGUUUCUAUUGCAUUUGUAAGUAUCUCAAUAUGACUAACUGGUUGUCAGUGCUUACCACCAAUCCUUUCUAGGCAUGACAUUCAGUUUCCUAGAUUUUAAUUUUUGUCCUUCAGGGUGUCUUUGAUUCAUAUGGUCAGACAAUACACCUGGGAAAUAUUUUCUCCAUCUUACGUACCUAAUAUCUUUCUGCUGCCUUCACAUAUAAAUUGACAAUUUUUCUCAAAACAAAAUUCAU